UAGGCAUUUAAGGUGUGCUGACACAGUGCAGAACGGACACAGUCCUGUUUAUCGAAGCGAAUGAUGCCAAUCAUUUCAUCCUCAGCAAAACGCUCCAGCGCAUCGCUAAGGCCUGAUUUCACUCCUCGCGGAAGGUCGCAUUGGGUGAUAUCACCAUUAACGAUAACCGUAACAUUUUCGCCAAGACGGGU
rnacentral:antisense_RNA from 1 species